UGGGGAAUUUUGGACAAUGGGCGAAAGCCUGAUCCAGCAAUGCCGCGUGUGUGAAGAAGGCCUUCGGGUUGUAAAGCACUUUUGUCCGGAAAGAAAUCCUUGGUUCUAAUAUAGCCGGGGGAUGACGGUACCGGAAGAAUAAGCACCGGCUAACUACGUGCCAGCAGCCGCGGUAAUACGUAGGGUGCAAGCGUUAAUCGGAAUUACUGGGCGUAAAGCGUGCGCAGGCGGUUUGCUAAGACCGAUGUGAAAUCCCCGGGCUCAACCUGGGAACUGCAUUGGUGACUGGCAGGCUAGAGUAUGGCAGAGGGGGGUAGAAUUCCACGUGUAGCAGUGAAAGUGCGUAGAGAUGUGGAGGAAUACCGAUGGCGAAGGCAGCCCCCUGGGCCAAUACUGACGCUCAUGCACGAAAGCGUGGGGAGCAAACAGGAUUCAGAUACCCUGGUAGUCCAGCGCCCUAAACGAUGUCAACUAGUUGUUGGGGAUUCAUUUCCUUAGUAACGUAGCUAACGCGUGAAGUUGACCGCCUGGGGAGUACGGUCG
rnacentral:rRNA from 1 species